CCCUUCCUUGGUAUCUCGCUCCAUCUUGUAUCCUCAGGUAUCCGGAGCUCCAACCAAGCCCUUCGAAAUUCUCGCCGCCUGAACCUUGAGCCCCUGAAAGCUAUGCAGUGCCUCCACCUUAGGAUAACUCCCAUCCUAAUGAACUAGGAGCCUAUCAAUCCAGCUCCGUCUGUGGUCACCUUCAAGGCUAUGGGGGCACCACAAAAUUCCUACAGACUCAUCAUGUGAGGUAUUAUCCGCUGUGGCCCAUCGACUUCACGAUUUUAUUCUUUAAAAGGUACCUCACGUGGGAAGAAUUUUUUCCUCCUUAUAAGCAUGAGUCUUCCUU
rnacentral:lncRNA from 1 species